AUUGAACGCUGGCGGCAUGCCUAACACAUGCAAGUCGAACGGCAGCACAGCAGUAGCAAUACUGUGGGUGGCGAGUGGCGGACGGGUGAGGAAUACGUCGGAAUCUGCCCAGUCGUGGGGGAUAACUAGCCGAAAGGUUAGCUAAUACCGCAUACGACCGAGAGGUGAAAGCGGGGGACCGCAAGGCCUCGCGCGAUUGGAUGAGCCGACGUCGGAUUAGCUAGUUGGCGGGGUAAAGGCCCACCAAGGCGACGAUCCGUAGCUGGUCUGAGAGGAUGACCAGCCACACUGGAACUGAGACACGGUCCAGACUCCUACGGGAGGCAGCAGUGGGAAUAUUGGACAAUGGGCGCAAGCCUGAUCCAGCAAUGCCGCGUGUGUGAAGAAGGCCUUCGGGUUGUAAAGCACUUUAUCAGGACGAAAGACGUUGGAUUAAUAACUCUGACGUGC
rnacentral:rRNA from 1 species